AGCGAACGCUGGCGGCAGGCCUAACACAUGCAAGUCGAACGAACCUUUCGGGGUUAGUGGCGGACGGGUGAGUAACACGUGGGAACGUGCCUUUAGGUUCGGAAUAACUCAGGGAAACUUGUGCUAAUACCGAAUGUGCCCUUCGGGGGAAAGAUUUAUCGCCUUUAGAGCGGCCCGCGUCUGAUUAGCUUGUUGGUUGAGGUAAUGGCUCACCAAGGCGACGAUCAGUAGCUGGUCUGAGAGGAUGAUCAGCCAGAUUGGAACUGAGACACGGCACAAACUCGUACGGGAGGAAGCAGGGGGGAAGCUGCCGCAAGGGGCGAAAGCCGGACGGAGAAGGGCAGCGUGAGUGAGGAAGGUCUUCGGAUCGUAAAAAACUGUUAGUUGGGAAGAACAGAGGUGUGAGAACCUGUGCAGAUCUUGACGGUACCAAAAGAAUAAGCCACGGCUAACUACGUG
rnacentral:rRNA from 1 species